rnacentral:antisense_RNA from 19 species
CGUUGCGGUAGGACGGGAGGGGGACGCGCUCGCGCGUGCUGGUCUGUAUACCCAGUCUGUCAACCCCUUCUCGUUCUACCACCCUA